rnacentral:rRNA from 1 species
GACAAACCGGAGGAAGGUGGGGAUGACGUCAGGUCAUCAUGGCCCUUAUGGGUAGGGNNACACACGUCANACAAUGGCCGGGACAGAGGGNUGCCAACCCGNGAGGGGGAGCUAAUCCCAGAAACCCGGUCGUAGUCCGGAUCGCAGUCUGCAACCCGACUGCGUGAAGUCGGAAUCGCUAGUAAUCGCGGAUCAGCUUGCCGCGGUGAAUACGUUCCCGGGUCUUGUACACACCGCCCGUCACACCAUGGGAGCGGGUUC